GUUGACCUCGGAUCAGGUAGGGAUACCCGCUGAACUUAAGCAUAUCAAUAAGCCGGAGGAAC
rnacentral:rRNA from 1 species